GACGAACGCUGGCGGCGUGCUUAACACAUGCAAGUCGAACGGAAAGGCCCUGCUUUUGUGGGGUGCUCGAGUGGCGAACGGGUGAGUAACACGUGAGUAACCUGCCCUUGACUUUGGGAUAACUUCAGGAAACUGGGGCUAAUACCGGAUAGGAGCUCCUGCUGCAUGGUGGGGGUUGGAAAGUUUCGGCGGUGGGGGAUGGACUCGCGGCUUAUCAGCUUGUGGGUGGGGUAGUGGCUUACCAAGGCUUUGACGGGUAGCCGGCCUGGGAGGGUGACCGGCCACAUUGGGACUGCGGUACGGCCCAGACUCCUACGGGAGGCAGCAGUGGGGAAUAUUGCACAAUGGGCGGAAGCCUGAUGCAGCAACGCCGCGUGCGGGAUGACGGCCUUCGGGUUGUAAACCGCUUUCGCCUGUGACGAAGCGUGAGUGACGGUAAUGGGUAAAGAAGCACCGGCUAACUACGUG
rnacentral:rRNA from 1 species